GACGGAGGGUGCAAGCGUUGUUCGGAAUUACUGGGCGUAAAGCGUGCGCAGGCGGUUUUGUAAGCCAGAUGUGAAAGCCCCGGGCUCAACCUGGGAAUGGCAUUUGGGACUGCAAGGCUUGAGUGCGGCAGAGGAGACUGGAAUUCCUGGUGUAGCAGUGAAAUGCGUAGAUAUCAGGAGGAAUACCGAUGGCGAAGGCAGGUCUCUGGGCUGACACUGACGCUCAUGCACGAAAGCGUGGGGAGCAAACAGG
rnacentral:rRNA from 1 species